AUCAGGUAGGGAUACCCGCUGAACUUAAGCAUAUCAAUAAGCGGAGGAAAAGAAACCAACAGGGAUUGCCUUAGUAACUGCGAGUGAAGCGGCAAAAGCUCAAAUUUGAAAUCUGGGGCCUCACAGCCUCCGAAUUGUAAUUUCACGAUACGUUUUCGACUGAAGGCUCUGCUUUAAGUUCCUUGGAACAGGACGUCACAGAGGGUGAGAAUCCCGUGAUAGGUGGAGCCUGAUGCAUAUGAUACGUAUUCAACGAGUCGAGUUGUUUGGGAAUGCAGCUCAAAAUGGGAGGUAAAUUUCUUCUAAAGCUAAAUAUUGGCGAGAGACCGAUAGCGCACAAGUAGAGUGAUCGAAAGAUGAAAAGCACUUUGAAAAGAGAGUUAAAAAGUACGUGAAAUUGUUGAAAGGGAAGCGCUUGAGACCAGACUCAAUCUGUAGUGAUCAAUUUGGCUUCUGUCAGAUGCACUUGCUACUUAUUGGGACAGCAUCGGUUUUGGCGGUGGGAUAAAGUCUUGAGGAAUGUAGCUAUCUUCGGGUAGU
rnacentral:rRNA from 1 species